AUAGCAAGCUCGGUGCUGACAGAAGAACAGCACUCGUACAGCCACACUUGUAAGGCUAACGAGCAUCCCCGUAUAAGAUAAAAAUGGACGUUGGGACUGAGACGAUGUCUGAUAGACUCAAGAACUUGCUUAAAAGAUUUUGUACCCCAUGGGUACGAAUCAAAAUAACCACUCUCUAUAAGAAAAAACGUAAAUUUGUC
rnacentral:lncRNA from 1 species